GGCUCAUCCAGGCCCCUGAGAGCAUCACCUGAGCCGAAGGCAGAGGCUUAACCCACUGAGUCACCCAGGUGCCCUUUAGAUGUGAUUUUCUGAUGUAGUUGCACAGAAGGAUGUCUGUCUUUAUUCUUAGGAAACGCAGGCUGAAAUAUUUAGGAGACAUGAAAAGCAAUUAUGGCAAAUGUUAACAUUUAUUCUACCCUGGAGUUAAGUUCUUGGGUGCUCCCUGAAUUAUUCUUUCAACUUUCCACGUGGUGAUGCUGGAACCAAGCUGUUGACAAUCCCAAAGCCAAGAGGCCUCAAUGGGGAACUAUUUUCAUUGGGCACUAUGCCAGCGGUGCCGAGAGCAGAGGAAACAUUAUUUCUGGAUUAAUUCAACCACCUCCACCCAAAGACCUGCACGACCAGAAGAACCCAUACAGCAACACCCAGCUCGCAUGCCUAAAAGCCUCACCGCUUCUUCCAGAUAGUGACGACUGUGGGUAGGACAGACUCUCUCUGAAUUCUCCAGACCAAAGAAGAGCUUCGAGAUGAAUUCCCGAAAGCAAGCAACUUCCUGGGACUCCUGUUCUUACACCAAACCAUUGUAACCUGACGUUUCCACCCCCUCCUUCACUCUCCAUCGAUUCUAAGAAGAACGCACAUUUCUUCUGAGAUACGAACUUCCCGAAGUUUCUUCUGUCCUUAGCAGCUCUUUGCGCGCUCUAACAAGUAAAUCCCUCCAGGACUGCCCGGAGGCCGAGCACUUACGCCGCUAGUAAACAAGGCAAAAUCCUUGCCGGAGGUCCGUCACUAAGUUGCCCAACCUCGGCCCGCUGCAAAUGGAAAACGCCUACCGUCCUCGGAACGCAAAGUGAUGGCGAGGAGCCACAGGGCGCGCCCGGGAGAGUGCGCACGGCCGCGGGCCAAGCAGGGCAGCGCUCGCCGGGGCUCGGGGCCUGCGCCUGCGUGCGAGCGAGCGAGGGGCUCCGGGCCUCCGCGCGUGGUCUGCGCGCGCCCGGCCGUGCGUGCGGCUGCGGGAGGCUGCGUGUGCGCGCGGGGCAGCAGCGUCGGCCGCCCACCAGCGGGUGUGGGAGCAGGCUUCGUGCGGUGCGCGGGAGAGUGGAUGCAUGAGGUGAUUUGA
rnacentral:lncRNA from 1 species